GACGAACGCUGGCGGCGUGCUUAACACAUGCAAGUCGAACGGAAAGGCCCCCUUGUGGGGUACUCGAGUGGCGAACGGGUGAGUAACACGUGAGUAACCUACCCUUGACUUUGGGAUAACUUCAGGAAACUGGGGCUAAUACCGGAUAGGAGCUCCUGCUGCAUGGUGGGGGUUGGAAAGUUUCGGCGGUUGGGGAUGGACUCGCGGCUUAUCAGCUAGUUGGUGGGGUAGUGGCUCACCAAGGCUUUGACGGGUAGCCGGCCUGAGAGGGUGACCGGCCACAUUGGGACUGAGAUACGGCCCAGACUCCUACGGGAGGCAGCAGUGGGGAAUAUUGCACAAUGGGCGGAAGCCUGAUGCAGCAACGCCGCGUGCGGGAUGACGGCCUUCGGGUUGUAAACCGCUUUCGCCUGUGACGAAGCGUGAGUGACGGUAAUGGGUAAAGAAGCACCGGCUAACUACGUG
rnacentral:rRNA from 1 species